rnacentral:rRNA from 1 species
AUUGAACGCUGGCGGCAGGCCUAACACAUGCAAGUCGAGCGGAUGACGGGAGCUUGCUCCUUGAUUCAGCGGCGGACGGGUGAGUAAUGCCUAGGAAUCUGCCUGGUAGUGGGGGACAACGUUUCGAAAGGAACGCUAAUACCGCAUACGUCCUACGGGAGAAAGCAGGGGACCUUCGGGCCUUGCGCUAGCAGAUGAGCCUAGGUCGGAUUAGCUAGUUGGUGGGGUAAUGGCUCACCAAGGGGACGAUCCGUAACUGGUCUGAGAGGAUGAUCAGUCACACUGGAACUGAGACACGGUCCAGACUCCUACGGGAGGCAGCAGUGGGGAAUAUUGGACAAUGGGCGAAAGCCUGAUCCAGCCAUGCCGCGUGUGUGAAGAAGGUCUUCGGAUUGUAAAGCACUUUAAGUUGGGAGGAAGGGCAGUAAGUUAAUACCUUGCUGUUUUGACGUUACCGACGGAAUAAGCACCGGCUAACUCUGUGCCAGCAGCCGCCGUAAAAC